CCGGGAUUGCCUCAGUAACGGCGAGUGAAGCGGCAAGAGCUCAAAUUUGAAAGCUGGCUCCUUCGGAGUCCGCAUUGUAAUUUGCAGAGGAUGCUUUGGGUGCGGCCCCCGUCUAAGUGCCCUGGAACGGGCCGUCAGAGAGGGUGAGAAUCCCGUCUUGGGCGGGGUGUCCGUGCCCGUGUAAAGCUCCUUCGACGAGUCGAGUUGUUUGGGAAUGCAGCUCUAAAUGGGUGGUAAAUUUCAUCUAAAGCUAAAUACUGGCCGGAGACCGAUAGCGCACAAGUAGAGUGAUCGAAAGAUGAAAAGCACUUUGAAAAGAGAGUUAAACAGCACGUGAAAUUGUUGAAAGGGAAGCGCUUGCGACCAGACUCGCCCGCGGGGUUCAGCCGGCAUUCGUGCCGGUGUACUUCCCCGUGGGCGGGCCAGCGUCGGUUUGGGCGGCCGGUCAAAGGCCCCUGGAAUGUAGUGCCCUCCGGGGCACCUUAUAGCCAGGGGUGCAAUGCGGCCAGCCUGGACCGAGGAACGCGCUUCGGCACGGACGCUGGCAUAAUGGUCGUAAACGAC
rnacentral:rRNA from 1 species